GGAAUGGAGAUUGACCUGCCCAUAAGUUCAGACAGUGUCUUGAAGAGACUUUGGGAACAAGAUAUUCAGGCACAUUUCACUGUUAGACUCACAGGAUGCUGGCCAUUGAUCUUUCCCUCUGUGAUCAUCUUUCUCAAGACGUUUUCUGUCUUCAUGAGGCAAAAUUUGAAGAGGAAAGGCUAGUGGCUGGGUGGUUGACAAAUUACUCUCAGGACUCAGUGACCUUUGAGGAUGUGGCUGUGGACUUCACCCAGGAGGAGUGGACUUUGCUGGAUCAAACUCAGAGAAACUUAUACAGAGAUGUGAUGCUGGAGAACUAUAAGAAUCUAGUUGCAGUAGAUUGGGAGAGUCGUAUUAAUACCAAAUGGUCAGCACCUCAGCAGAAUUUUUUGCAGGGGAAGACAUCCAGUGUGGUGGAAAUGGAGAGAAACCAUUUUGGAGAGGAACUGUUUGACUUUAACCAAUGUGAAAAAGCCUUGAGUGAACACUCAUGCCUUAAGACUCACAGGAGAACUUACUUUAGAAAGAAAACCUGUGAGCGUAAUCACUGUGAAAAAGCCUUCAGAAAACCCUCUACCUUUACUUUACACAAGAAAACUGAUAUUGGAGAGGAACUUCCUAACUGUAAUCAAUGUGAAACAGCCUUCAGCCAACAUCUACAUCUUGUUUGCAAGAAAACUAGCCAAAAUCUACAUCUCGUUUGCAAGAAAACUCACACUCAAGAGAAACCAUAUAAAUGCAGUGACUGUGAAAAAGGCUUACCUUCCUCCUCACACCUCAGAGAAUGUGUAAGAAUUUAUGGUGGAGAGAGACCAUAUACUCAUAAAGAGUAUGUCAAAACCUUUUCUCAUUCUACAGGCCUUUUUGUACACAUGCAAACUCAAGAUGGAGAAAAAUUCUGUGAAUGUAAAGCAUGUGGGAAACCCUUCACUCAGUCUUCAUAUGUUACUCAACAUUUAAGAACUCACAGUAGAGUGUUACCUAUAGAACAUAAGAAAUUUGGCAAAGCCUUUGCUUAUUCCCCAGAUCUUGCUAAACAUAUAAGACUUAGAACUAGAGGGAAACACUAUGUUUGUAAUGAAUGUGGCAAAGAGUUUUCUUGUUUCUCAAAACUCAGCAUUCACAUAAGGGUUCACACUGGAGAAAAACCAUAUGAGUGCAACAAAUGUGGGAAAGCCUUCACUGAUUCAUCAGGUCUUAUAAAACACAGGCGAAUUCACACUGGAGAAAAGCCUUAUGAAUGUAAGGAAUGUGGGAAAGCUUUCGCUAACUCUUCACAUCUUACUGUACAUAUGAGAACUCACACUGGUGAGAAGCCUUAUCAAUGUAAGGAAUGUGGAAAAGCCUUUAUUAAUUCCUCUUGCUUUAAAAGUCACAUGCAGACUCAUCCUGGUGUAAAACCCUAUGACUGUCAACAGUGUGGGAAAGCCUUUAUUCGAUCCUCAUUUCUUAUUCGACAUUUAAGAAGUCACAGUGCAGAAAGGCCUUUUGAAUGUGAGGAAUGUGGGAAAGCCUUUAGAUACUCCUCGCACCUUAGUCAACAUAAAAGAACACAUACAGGGGAGAGGCCAUAUAAAUGUCAAAAGUGUGGGCGAGCCUUCACUAUCUCAUCAGGCCUUACAGUACACAUGAGAACUCACACUGGUGAACGGCCCUUUGAAUGUCAGGAAUGUGGGAAAGCCUUUACUCGGUCCACAUAUCUUAUUCGACAUCUAAGAAGUCACAGUGUCGAGAAACCAUAUAAGGAAUGUGGGCAAACCUUAAGUAAUUCCUCAUGCCUUACUGAAUGUGUGUAAAUUGGGGCUGAUACUUGGAAAGAAUGUGGUAAAGCCACUGCUUCCUCACACUUAUUGAACAUGUACUCAUUCAUAGUGGCAAUGUACACAGUCAUAAGGAAUGUGGGAAGCCUUCCUUGGUGUCUCAGAUUUCAACAAUUCCAGUAGAAGAGAAGACAUACGAAUGUAAGGAAUGUAGGAAAGUCUUGGCUCCUUCCAUAGGCCUUACUUACUAUUCAUGUGUCUGUGCAUCCUAGGAAACAAACUGAAUGUGGGAAACCAUCAGUCAAUGCUUACGUCUUACUGAGUCUCUGAACUCAUGCUGGAGAGAAAUGCUAUGAAUGUGAGGAAGGUGGAAAAGCUUUCAUUAUUUUCCUUGGGCCUUACUGAGCUUGUGAGCACAUUGGAUGUAAAUGCACGUCCUCUGGAUGUAAGGAAUGUGUUGAAACCUUUUGCUCUGCCUUAUACCUUAAUAUUCAACUAUGAUCUCACAAGUGUGAAAAAUCUUAUGAAUGUAAGAUGUGUGGAGAUUCUUCUUUGUUUUUAGCUUCCACUUUGGGAACGUGUCAAAGCACACAUUGAGAAGUCCCAUGAGUGAAAGAUGUCGGAAAGCCCUUGAAUUUGGUCAUUAGGAAACAUCCACACUGAAGAGGAACUCUGACUGUAUGGAAGGUCAAAAAGGCUGUAUUAAUUUACACGCAAAAAGUCACACUAGAGGAAUGCCAUAUCAGAAUGCUUUUGUGUGAGUGUCUCAUCUAACAGUCUGAGGACAGGAAGAGCUGUUGCCAGGAAAAGGGGAAGACUUCUUUUGAGAUCCUUGGUAUUUUUAAUGAAGUCUUUGAUAUGGCUUACCCUUCCUACUUGGUGACCCUGUCCUGAAAAGGGCCGGAAGACAGGCUUCGUAGACAUACAUAUUUCAUUUUUCUUGUCUUCAACUUUAACACCACCUCUUCUUUAUCAAAAAUUCCCAGUAAUUCUGAAGGUAAUUCCCCCUUUUUGAUGGAGUUCAAAAACUGCUGACUUGCACCAUUCGAAUAACUUCUGAAAUCAUCAUUGACAGUGAAUCCAUUUUUCUGUAAUUUUAUGUUUACGUCUACCUGUUUCUUCUGUUCAGUGGGAGACAAGCAUUUGGAACCAACCUUCUGAGUUUCCUCAAAAAGGCUAUCAACAAACUAUCUACAAUUUGUUUGUUGAUUAUCACCAAGACGUUGAUUGUCAGGUCCUGUUUCACAAACCCAGUCUUUUAUACUUUCGAGAUUAUCUACGUCUUUCAUUCUCUUUUGCCUUACUCUGAGCACAGCCUCCAAGCCUAGGCCUCACUCAACUCAGGGGCCACCAGCACUGUUUGGCUGGAGCCCUUCAGACCUGGAGUGCCUCGCCCGAGACCACCUCCGGUACCCCGGCUGUGCUGCUGAUAUCCCGCCGGCCUCUCUGUCUCCACCAGGCACCAAGUGUUCACCCACGCCUGCUGCCUGCAGACCUGAGGAGAGCGCAUCGGCUGUUUUUUUUUGUUUUUUUUUUAAGACGAGUUUCGCUCUGUAUCUCAGGCUAGAGUGCAGUGGCAUGAGCUUGGUUCACUGCAACCUCCGCCUCUCGGGGUCAAGCAAUUCUUGUGCCUCAGCCUCUGGAGUAACUGGGACUACACACGUGCGCCACCAUGCCCAGCUAAAUUGUUUUGUAUUUUUAGUAGAGCCGGGGUUUCACUAUGUUGCCUAGGUUGGUCUAGAACUCCUGGGCUCAAGCAGUCCACCCACCUCGGCCUCCCAAAGUGAUGGGAUUAUAGACGUGAGCCACCGCGCCCAGCCUCUGGCAGCUUUUUAGUAGAUUCUAUCAGAUUUUCUACUAGGACAAUUCUGUUGUCUGCACAUAAAAGUUUUUACUUCUUCCUUUCCAAUCUGUAUGCGUUUUGUAUUUUUCUUUUCUUGUUACAUUAACUAGAACCUGCAGUGUAUUGUUAGAUAGAAAUUGAGAGACCAGACAUUCUUGUCUUUUUUCUGGUCUUGGGAGUAAAUCAUUGAAUCUUUUACCAUUUAGUAACUAUCUUUUUAAUCUUUUUUUUGGUAACACCUAUUGGGUGGGAAAUAGUAUUGUUUUUUAUUUUUAUUUCCCUGGUGGCUAAAGAUUUCUAUUAUUUUUUUUCUGGGCUUAGCUCACCUGAAACCUAAAGAUGUUGAUCAUCUUUUCAUCAGUUUGUUGACUAUGUGUCUGUCUUCUUUGGGAGAAUGUCUAUUUAGAUCCUUUGCCAUUUUUAAAUUGAGUUCUUUUUAUUAUUGAGUUUCAAGAGCUCUAUAAAUUCUAGGUACAAAUACCAUAUCAAAUAAAUGGUUUACAAGUAUUUUUUCAUUCUUUGUGUUGUCCUUUCACUUUCUUGAUGGCAUCCUUUCGAGUGUAAAAGUUUUAAAUUUAUUUUUUUCUUAAUGCUUUUGGUGUCAAAUCUAAGAAACCAUUGCCUAACCCAAGGUCAUGAAGUCUUUUAUAUUUUUUCUAGGAUUUUUAUAGUUUCAGCUCUUACAGUUCUGUGAUCCAUUUUGAACUAAUAUUUGUGUAUGCUGUGAACAGUGUAUCCAGCUUCAUUCUUUUGCAUGUAACACCCAGUUACCCUAGCAUAUUUGUUGAAAAGACUGUUUCUCCCAUUGAAUUGUCUUGGCACUCUUGUCAAAAAUCAGUUGACCAUAAAUGUAAAGGCUUAUUUAUUUAUUUGUUUUGAGACUGGGUCCUGCUCUGUUACCCAGGCUGGAGUGCAGUGGUGUGAUCUUGGCUCACUGCAGCCUUGACCUCCCAGGCUCAAGUGAUCCUCCUCGUUGAGCUUCCCAAGUGGCUGGGACUACAGGUAUACACCACCACACCUGGCUAAUUUUUGUAUUUCUUGUAGAGACAGGGUUUCAUCUUGUUGCCCAGACUGGUCUUGAACUCCUGGGCUCAAGCAAUCCUCCUGCCUCCGCCUCCCAAAGUGCUGGGAUUACAGAUGUGAGCUGCUGUGCCCAGCAUUAAGAUUUAUUUCUAGACUCUCAGUUCACCUCCAUUGUACAUGUCUAACCUGUUUGUAACCACACUGUCCUGAUUACUGUAGCUUUAGAGUAAGUUUUGAAAUUGGGAAGCAUGAGCCCUUCUAUAAUCCUUUUUGCAAUGCAUGGGUUGAGGUUACUUUUGGAGGGAGUAGAAGGGAUGUGAAUAUUUUAAUUUUUUUUUUUUCAGGACAAUUGGUUGAAAACAGUCUUUAUUGGAUUAUUUGCACCUUCUUUGAAAAUCAAAUUGAUGACAUAUGUUUAAAUCUAUUUCUGGGAUCUAUUCAGUUCAACUAAUCUAUAUGUCUGUCCUUUUGCUAAUACUACACUUUUUUUUUGAGACAGUCUCACCCUGUCAACCAGACCGGAGUGCAGUGGUACCAUCUCAGCUCACUGCAGCUUCCACCUCCCAGGUUCAAGCCAUUCUUGUGCCUCAGCCUCCCGAGUAGCUGGGACUAUUGUGCCUGAGCCUCCCAAGUAGCUGAGACUAUAGACGUGUGCCACCACACCUGGCUAACUUUUGUGUUUGUAGUAGAGACAGGGUUUCACCAUGUUGGCCAGGUUGGUUUCAAACUCUUGGCCUCGAGUGAUCCACCCACCUCAGCCUCCCAAAGUGCUGGGAUUACAGGCGCGAGCCACCGUAUCUGGCCUGCUAAUAAUACACUUUUUUGAUUAUGGUAGCUCUCUAGUAAAUCUUGAAAGCAAGUGGUGUGAGAGUUCCAACAUUGACGUUAAUUUUCAGAAUCAUUUGGGAUGGUCCAUGUUCUUUGUUUUUUCACGUAAUUUUUUUUUUUUCGAGAUGGAGUCUUACUCUGUCGCCCAGGCUGGAAUGCAGUGGCGCAAUCUCGGCUCACUGCAAGCUCUGCCUCCUGGGUUCACGCCAUUCUCCUGCCCCAGCCUCCUGAGUAGCUGGGACUACAGGCACUCGCCACCAAGCCCGGCUAAUUUUUUGUGUUUCUUUUUUUUGUAUUUUUAAUGGAGAUGGGGUUUCACCAUGUUAGCCAGGAUGGUCUCGAUCUCCUGACCUCAUGAUCUGCCUGCCUCGGCCUCCCAGAGUGCUGGAUUGCAGGUAUGAGCCACCACACCCGGCCUUUUCACAUAAAUUUUAGAGUAAACUUACUGGUUUCCAUAAAAAGCCUGCUGGGAUUUUUUUUUUUUUUUUUUUUUUUUUUACUGAGAUUCAGUUUAAUCUAAAGAUGAAUUAGAGAAUUGGCAUCUUAAUACUGGCUGUUCUGAACCAUAGACACGGUAUAUCUCUGCCAUGGUCUGAAUGUUUGCAUACCCCCAAAAUUUAUAUGGUUGAAAUCCUAAUCCCCAGUCCAAUGAUAUUGGCAGCUGAGGCCUUUGGGAGAUGAUUAGGCUCAUGAGGGCAGAGUACUAAUGAAUUAGAUUGGUGCCUUUAUAAAAGAAAUUCCAGAGAGCUUGCUCAUCUCUUCUGCCUUGGGAGGACACAGCAAGAAGUCACCAUCUGUGAACCAAGAAGUGGGACCUCAUCAGACACCAAAUCUGCCAACAGUUCAGUCUUGGACUUCCCAUUCUCCAGAACUGUGAGCAAUAAAUUUCUGUUGUUUAUAAGCCAUCUAGUCUAUGGUAUUUUGUUCUACCAGCCCAAACGGACUAAGACAAUCUCCCCGUUAAUUUAGGUCUUAUUUCUUUCAACAGUGUUUUGUGGUUUUCUGUAUUGCACCAUUUCAUUGAUGCUAUUAUAAAUGCUAGUUUUAAAUUUUCAAUUUUCCAGUGCUAGUGUAUAAAAUUAUUUAUAUUUGUAUAUAAUUUAUAUUUGAUCUUGAAUCCUGCAAACUUUGUAUAGUUAUCUAUUCCUGUAACUUUUUGGAAUAUUCUACAUAAACAAAUCUUAUGCUCUGUA